rnacentral:snRNA from 1 species
GUGCUCGCUUCGGGAGCACAUAUACUAAAAUUGGAACGAUACAGAGAAAAUUAACAUGGCCCCUGCA